GACGAACGCUGGCGGCGUGCCUAAUACAUGCAAGUCGAACGGUCUUUUCUAUGGAAGCUUGCUUCCACUGAGAAGAUAGUGGCGAACGGGUGAGUAACACGUGGGUAACCUGCCCAUCAGAGGGGGAUAACAUCCGGAAACGGGUGCUAAUACCGCAUAGUUUUCUUGAUCGCAUGAUCGAGAAAGGAAAGACGGCCUUUGUGCUGUCGCUUAUGGAUGGACCCGCGGCGUAUUAGUUAGUUGGUGAGGUAACGGCGCACCAAGACGAUGAUACGUAGCCGACCUGAGAGGGUGAUCGGCCACAUUGGGACUGAGACACGGCCCAAACUCCUACGGGAGGCAGCAGUAGGGAAUCUUCCGCAAUGGACGAAAGUCUGACGGAGCAACGCCGCGUGAGUGAAGAAGGUUUUCGGAUCGUAAAACUCUGUUGUCAGAGAAGAACAAGUCGGAGAGUAACUGCUCCGGCCUUGACGGUAUCUGACCAGAAAGCCACGGCUAACUACGUGCCAGCAGCCGCCGUAAGAC
rnacentral:rRNA from 1 species